rnacentral:rRNA from 1 species
AACGAACGCUGGCGGCAGGCCUAACACAAGCAAGUCGAGCGAGACCUUCGGGUCUAGCGGCGGACGGGUGAGUAACGCGUGGGAACGUGCCCUUUGCUACGGAAUAGCCCCGGGAAACUGGGAGUAAUACCGUAUGUGCCCUUCGGGGGAAAGAUUUAUCGGCAAAGGAUCGGCCCGCGUUGGAUUAGGUAGUUGGUGGGGUAAUGGCCUACCAAGCCGACGAUCCAUAGCUGGUUUGAGAGGAUGAUCAGCCACACUGGGACUGAGACACGGCCCAGACUCCUACGGGAGGCAGCAGUGGGGAAUCUUAGACAAUGGGGGAAACCCUGAUCUAGCCAUGCCGCGUGAGCGAUGAAGGCCUUAGGGUUGUAAAGCUCUUUCAGGUGGGAAGAUAAUGACGGUACCACCAGAAGAAGCCCCGGCUAACUCCGUGCCAGCCGCCGCGGUAAAAC